rnacentral:rRNA from 1 species
GUGAGGAAUAUUGGUCAAUGGGCGGGAGCCUGAACCAGCCAAGUCGCGUGAAGGAAGAAGGAUCUAUGGUUCGUAAACUUCUUUUGCAGGGGAAUAAAGUGCAGGACGUGUCCUGUUUUGUAUGUACCCUGAGAAUAAGGAUCGGCUAACUCCGUGCCAGCAGCCGCGGUAAUACGGAGGAUCCGAGCGGUAUCCGGAUUUAUUGGGUUUAAAGGGUGCGUAGGUGGUUAGAUAAGUUAGCGGUGAAAGUUUGCAGCUUAACUGUAAAAAUGCCGUUGAAACUGUCGGACUUGAGUGUAAAUGAGGUAGGCGGAAUGCGUGGUGUAGCGGUGAAAUGCAUAGAUAUCACGCAGAACUCCGAUUGCGAAGGCAGCUUACUAAGCUACAACUGACACUGAAGCACGAAAGCGUGGGGAUCAAACAGGAUUAGAAACCCGUGUAGUCC